rnacentral:lncRNA from 1 species
AUGUGGGGCCCGCACGUGAAAUGGCGACUCCUGUGGCGUGUUUGUUUGUCCCGUGAGGGAAGCCGUGGGCCCCACCUGUCUAUGCGCUGGGGCCCGCGCGGGGGCGCUGUACCGGCCUCAUCGUGCGCGCUGUUCGAGGGUGCGAGGUGGAGGAGCGAAUACUUUGUGGCGAAUGAUUCUUUGGUUGCAUGGGAUUUUGUGGUCCUCGAUGCGAUUUCUUAUCAGAAAAGUACAGAACAACCUAUACGCUCUUUGGUUACACUUGCAUUUGCAGAUUUGCUGCAGCAUCAUGGUCAAUCAGCACGCAAAUUUACGACAAGGGUUUGGCAACAAUCAGAGGCUGAGAGCCACCUGUAUGAGCUUGCCAACAUCUGUGUGGCAACUGGCAACUCAGAUUUCUAUUGGCUGGCCUUCUGUUCAUGCCUGUCUUAAUAAAGGGUAG